UACGUAGGUGGCAAGCGAUACUCGGAAUCACUAGGCGUAAAGCGCAGGUAGGCGGUUCGGUAAGUCUUUUGUGAAAGCUCCUGGCUCAACUGGGAGAGGUCAAAGGAAACUACCGGGCUAGAGUUUGGUAGGGGAUACUGGAAUUCCUGGUGUAGCGGUGAAAUGCGUAGAUAUCAGGAGGAAUACCUAUGGCGAAAGUAGGUAUCUGGGCCACAACUGACGCUGAGCUGCGAAAGCUAGGGGAGCAAACAGG
rnacentral:rRNA from 1 species